rnacentral:rRNA from 1 species
GGAGGGAGCGAGCGUUGUUCGGAAUUACUGGGCGUAAAGGGCGCGUAGGCGGCCGAGUAAGUCGCGUGUGAAAGGCCGGGGCUCAACCCCGAGCACUGCACGUGAUACUGCACGGCUAGAGAAAGGUAGAGGCGAGCGGAAUUCCCGGUGUAGCGGUGGAAUGCGUAGAUAUCGGGAAGAACACCUGUGGCGAAGGCGGCUCGCUGGGCCUUUUCUGACGCUGAAGCGCGAAAGCGUGGGGAGCAAACAGGGAUUAGAUACCCUGGUAGUCCACGCCGUAAACGAUGGGUACUAGGUGUUGGGAGGCUUGGUCCUCUCAGUGUCGUCGCUAACGCAUUAAGUACCCCCGCCUGGGGGAGUACGGUCGCAAGGCUG